GCUUUAUUCCAAGUGAACCCUGUACACACUUAUGUCCCGGCCUUUUCUUCCUUGCUUUGGCAGGGACACCAUUCUUCCUUCCCUUCCUUCCCCUGUUCUCCCUUCUGUUUCUUUUGAGGUUCCUCUUUCUCUGCCAUUAAGUAUUAUAGUCCCUCAAGACUCAGUCCAGGCCCACUUCUUUUCCCACUCUGAAUUCUCUCCCUAGGUGAGCUCAUCCAAGCCCAUGACUUCAAUUCCUUCCCACCUGUACACACUUCAUGCUUUACCCCAGAGCCACACGUGUUCCCUUGCUCCAAUGGCCUAGUGACAUCUCCACUCACAUGUCCUAGUGCAACAUGAUGAAAAGUGAGCCCAGAGUCUCCUAACUCUACACUACCUUCCAGGUCUCUUCUGAUAUUUCUUAUCUCAUUGGACACCACUAUUCAGUUAAGUAAGGCAGAAACACCACCCUGAGUGAAUCCUUCUUCCUCUCUCCAUAUGCAGUGGAGAUGCACCAAGAUCUUAGGCAUCAGUGUUUUUGGAUCUGUCCGCUUUGUCCGUUCAUGACCAUCAAUCCAGGUCAAGAUACUGUCAUCUCUUGCUUGGACUACAAAUGGGCCCAAAGCCCUAAUUCUUUCCCUUGAAUUGAUUCCAGCUCCCAAGUAAUCAAAGCAGGUCUUUAUCCAAAGGCUGGCUGAAUCAUUCAUCCCCUGCCCCUCGCCUGUGCCUCCAUCCUCUCUGAUGUUUGUCUCUAUUGUGAUACCCGAGGACAGUUAAAAUCCCAAGAUUCAUAUGGUGCUCCCAUUUCCAGAGCCCCUUUGUUCACAUUAUUAUCUCAUUCCCUUCUUAAGUGGCCACGAUCAUCAUGAGUCACAAUCAUUCCUUUUAAAGGAUCAUAUCUGUCUUCCUUGGAAACAGUCUCAGAGAGGCAAAUUAGCUCUUCCGGGGCCGUCCACCUGGGGAGUAAGAGAGCCUGGGUCUUCUGACUCCUUAAGUUAACCUCGUUUGUUCCUCACUUGUCAGAAGAGGGCUUUGGAUGAGACAGAGGUGCCUUAAGAACCGUUCUCUCUCUAACAGUCUGUGGUUCUAUGGUUUGCAGGGUCCAAGAGGAGGUUGCAAAAACAUCUCAAAGGGAACACUCCAGAUUGCACCUGUGCCGAAUGGAACGGAAGAAUUCCCUUUGAGGGAAUGUUGUUUUCCUGUGGACUUUUUAUAAGGCUGGAAACAAGAAGACAGAUUAUUUCCUUUUUAUGGGCGUGAAUAUGACAACUGAUGAAUCUAUGGACCAGGUGAAGCAGGGAUGGUCAAUAAAGCUUAUUUCUCAUGAUA